rnacentral:rRNA from 1 species
UACGUAGGGUGCAAGCGUUGUCCGGAAUUAUUGGGCGUAAAGAGCUCGUAGGCGGUCUGUCGCGUCUGGUGUGAAAACUCAGGGCUUAACCCUGAGCUUGCAUCGGGUACGGGCAGACUAGAGGUAUGCAGGGGAGAACGGAAUUCCUGGUGUAGCGGUGGAAUGCGCAGAUAUCAGGAGGAACACCGAUGGCGAAGGCAGGUCACUGGGCCGCAACUGACGCUGAGGAGCGAAAGCAUGGGGAGCGAACAGG